AUUGAACGCUGGCGGCAGGCUUAACACAUGCAAGUCAAGCGGAGCGAGGGUGCUUGCACCUUAGCUUAGCGGCGGACGGGUGAGUAAUGCUUAGGAAUCUGCCUAUUAGUGGGGGACAACAUUCCGAAAGGAAUGCUAAUACAGCAUACGUCCUACGGGGGAAAGCAGGGGAUCUUCGGACCUUGCGCUAAUAGAUGAGCCUAAGUCGGAUUAGCUAGUUGGUGGGGUAAAGGCCUACCAAGGCGACGAUCUGUAGCGGGUCUGAGAGGAUGAUCCGCCACACUGGGACUGAGACACGGCCCAGACUCCUACGGGAGGCAGCAGUGGGGAAUAUUGGACAAUGGGCGGAAGCCUGAUCCAGCCAUGCCGCGUGUGUGAAGAAGGCCUUUUGGUUGUAAAGCACUUUAAGCGAGGAGGAGGCUACUAGUACUAAUACUACUGGAUAGUGGACGUUACUCGCAGAAUAAGCACCGGCUAACUCUGUGCCAGCAGCCGCGGUAAAAC
rnacentral:rRNA from 1 species